GGGGACGUGGCGGAAUCGGUAGACGCGCCGGACUUAAAAUCCGUUGGAGCAAUCCGUGUGGGUUCGAGUCCCACCGUCCCUA
rfam:Caulobacter crescentus CB15, complete genome.